rnacentral:rRNA from 1 species
CCUACGGGAGGCAGCAGUGGGGAAUAUUGGGCAAUGGGCGAAAGCCUGACCCAGCGACGCCGCGUGCGGGAUGAAGGCCUUCGGGUUGUAAACCGCUUUCAGCAGGGAAGAAGCGAAAGUGACGGUACCUGCAGAAGAAGCACCGGCUAACUACGUGCCAGCAGCCGCGGUAAUACGUAGGGUGCAAGCGUUGUCCGGAAUUAUUGGGCGUAAAGAGCUCGUAGGCGGUUUGUCACGUCGGAUGUGAAAACUCGAGGCUUAACCUCGAGCCUGCAUUCGAUACGGGCAAACUAGAGUUCGGUAGGGGAGACUGGAAUUCCUGGUGUAGCGGUGGAAUGCGCAGAUAUCAGGAGGAACACCGGUGGCGAAGGCGGGUCUCUGGGCCGAUACUGACGCUGAGGAGCGAAAGCGUGGGGAGCAAACAGGAUUAGAUACCCCAGUAGUC